CAGUCGCCGCGGGAAUACGGAGGAUCCGAGCGUUAUCCGGAUUUAUUGGGUUUAAAGGGUGCGUAGGUGGCCUGUUAAGUCAGGGGUGAAAGACGGUAGCUCAACUAUCGCAGUGCCCUUGAUACUGACGGGCUUGAAUGGACUAGAGGUAGGCGGAAUGUGACAAGUAGCGGUGAAAUGCAUAGAUAUGUCACAGAACACCAAUUGCGAAGGCAGCUUACUAUGGUUUGAUUGACACUGAGGCACGAAAGCGUGGGGAUCAAACAGGAUUAGAUACCCCGGUAGUCCCUGUCUCUUAUAC
rnacentral:rRNA from 1 species